AAGCGGCAACAGCUCAAAUUUGAAAUCUGGCCCUCGUGGUCCGAGUUGUAAUUUGUAGAGGAUGCUUUUGGUUAGGUGCCUUCCGAGUUCCCUGGAACGGGACGCCAUAGAGGGUGAGAGCCCCGUCUGGUUGGACACCGAGCCUCUGUAAAGCUCCUUCGACGAGUCGAGUAGUUUGGGAAUGCUGCUCUAAAUGGGAGGUAUAUGUCUUCUAAAGCUAAAUAUUGGCCAGAGACCGAUAGCGCACAAGUAGAGUGAUCGAAAGAUGAAAAGCACUUUGAAAAGAGGGUUAAAAAGUACGUGAAAUUGUUGAAAGGGAAGCGCUUGUGACCAGACUUGGGCCCGGUCAAUCAUCCAGGGUUCUCCCUGGUGCACUUGGCCGGCCCAGGCCAGCAUCAGUUUGUCGCGGGGGAUAAAGACGUUGGGAAUGUGGCUCCUCCGGGAGUGUUAUAGCCCUUCGUGUAAUACCCUGCUUCGGACUGAGGUUCGCGCAUCUGCAAGGAUGCUGGCGUAAUGGUCAUCAGCGACCCGUCUUGAAACACGGACCAAGGAGUCGUCUUCGUAUGCGAGUGUUCGGGUGUCAAACCCCUACGCGUAAUGAAAGUGAACGCAGGUGAGAGCUUCGGCGCAUCAUCGACCGAUCCUGAUGUUCUCGGAUGGAUUUGAGUAAGAGCAUACGGGGCCGGACCCGAAAGAAGGUGAACUAUGCCUGUAUAGGGUGAAGCCAGAGGAAACUCUGGUGGAGGCUCGCAGCGGUUCUGACGUGCAAAUCGAUCGUCAAAUAU
rnacentral:rRNA from 1 species